rnacentral:lncRNA from 1 species
UAUUAAACAACUAUUUUUUUAAAAAUCUAAAAUUUGAGUAGUUAUAAUACAGGGGAAAUGACCCUUCAUUGUAAAUGUACAAUCUUUUAGAGAAAUAAUAAUAGCCAGCCAUUGUGCUGAGCACUAUACGUACAUCUUGUUGAAUCUUUAAAACAUCCCUAAGAGGCAAAUCUCAUUCACUCCAGCCCAACUAAUUGAACACAGUAUAAUUUCAAUAGGCUCAGUAAACUUUCCAAAGUCACAUGGGAAGUUAAUACAAAAGCUAGGAUUCUCAUUCUAGUUAAACAACACUAACUGGCUUUUCAAAGACUUUUAAACAUAAAUACAUAGAAAUGAAGCAAAUUAAACACAAAAUAAAACAAUAAAUGCAUUGUAUUUAUUUGUAUUCUGUCUUGUUCCUCAUGCAAUCUGACAUGACAAAUAAACAAUAUAAAUAAUAAGGUGUUUGGUAUAUUGGGAAGACCUGUAAGAAUGAUUUUUUAUAUGGACCUUGGGAUAACCAUUAAAGGUAUUGCAUGGUUGGUCUUGAAUGGUUGGAGAAAGUAGAAGAACAUUUGAGACUUCAGGCACAAAAAGAAAUAAAGUACCAAAGACAGCAAUAAAUGAAGAAACCAAAAGAAAUUCAGUCAAGCCAGACUUGCAAAUAUGUUUUGAGGUAAGGAAUGAACAGGAGGGUGUGCAAAGAUCAAGAUGAAAUGGCAAUUUUAAGACAUUAAAAAUACUACAAACUACACUAGUCUAGGCUAAGCUGAGAAAUCAAAUUUAUAACAUCUGUGGUUCAUUAUUGGCAUUAGCAGUCUUUAGAAGCUCGUAUAUUUUACUCACAAAAGAUGAUUUAAGACCAAGAAAAUCAGAUUGGUUUAGCAGUGUCCUUAAAAUAUUUUUUAUUUGAGUGUCAUUCCAUCAUAUAAUGUUUUAAAAUUCCUCUUUUAAAACUUGCAUUUAUUUUCAUGCCACAAAAAGGAUGUGCAUUAAAAUGUGAUGAUUAAAAUGUACAUAUUUAAAUAAUCCUGCAGAUUCACAUAUGCAAAAGUAAAUCAAAGAUAACCUACACUUUUAGAGAAAAAUCAACCUACACUCUCUUAAUUGAAUUGCUAGUUAGAUCCUCAGUGCCAGUUCUCUUCCCUAACUGAUAUACUCCAUUAGGAGUUGCUGGAAUGAGGAAAAACAAUCAGGGAUCUAGUGGAUAAGAGAUAAAAUAUGCUGAGUUUCUAGACUACAUUUAAGAAGGGCAUGAAAAUACAACCAAAAGAAGUAAAGCUACCUACUAUGCACUAUAUCGUGUUAUAGUAAGAUGUACAGCAAAUGGGUUCCAUUUUAAGAAAAUAUUUGCCUAUAUCCCUCUUCCCCCCAAAAAAUGCUGGCUAUCGAUCUGAGGAAAAAUCAACAGGAAGGGGAGCACCAGACCUGAAAUUGACCUGGUCUCUUGAAUGUAGAUAAAGGGGUAAUUUCUAUGCACACACAUCUGGACAAAGGUAAUGUAUGAUGCUGGCUUUGUAGGAUUCUCAUAUAAACCUAUUCUUACCAUUCAAAUGCCUCCUGUGUAUUCUAUGUGAUGGCUAAGUACUCAGAAGAAGGAACAACCGGGAAGCGAGAACAUUUUUGCUACAUGAUGGCAAGACUUAUCCUCCAUAUGGUUACUUACAUAUGUUAAAAGAGAUAAUAAUGCACAGUUAGGGUUCAAUAGUUUGGAUCUUAAAUGUCCCCCAAAGGCUUGUUCUUCAGAGUGGUACCAUUGGGAAACAGUGGAACCUUUAAGAAGCGAGGCCUAGUUGGAAGUCUAUAAUUGUUCUGGUUGAGUCUUUUAGUUACAGCAAUGAAAAAGUUGACUAAAAUAAGAGGACAUUCAAACCAUGGCACAUGUCAAGGCACCACACAAUAAAAUUGAGGAAGACCAGCAAGAAAGAGAAAAAUGUUAAAAGCAGCCAAAGGGGAGAAAAGACAUAUGUCUACAGACAAACAAACAUAGGAUUACAGCAGACUUCUUCAAUAAAUAUGAAAGCCCAAAAUACAAAGGAGACAAAGAACUGAAAGAAAAAGACUCCACAAAGAUUUCUUUGCUCAUUAAGUAUAUAAAACAUUAAAGACAAUAUAACUUUUCAAAAACAGCAACAUCUAAAAGAAGUCAGCAGAUCAGCACUGCAAGAAAAAUUAAAGGAAGCUGUUCCAGCAAAUGUAAAAUGGUAUCAGAUGGAAAAUGGGAUCUACACAAAGGAAUAGAGUAUCAGAAAAGAUGAAUGUGUU